GGCUCCAUCGUCUAGCGGUCUAGGACACCAGGUUCUCAUCCUGGUAACCGGGGUUCGAGUCCCCGUGGAGUCA
rnacentral:tRNA from 1 species